CCUGCACUAAACUGUUUCAGAUUCCUGAGUAUAAUGCAGAACUAAAAUUACAUUUUCAAUUUCUUUUUCUGAAGAUCAGAUAUUGACAGAGAAGAUAAAUAUGAAAGUACAAGUACUUAUCUUGAAAUUUGAACAACCAGUUAUUUGCCGAUUCCCA
rnacentral:lncRNA from 12 species